GACGAACGCUGGCGGCGUGCUUAACACAUGCAAGUCGAACGGAAAGGCCUGUCCUUCCUUGUGUUGGACGGGUACUCGAGUGGCGAACGGGUGAGUAACACGUGAGUGAUCUGCCCCAACUUGGGUAUAAGCCUGGGAAACUGGGUCUAAUUCCCGAUAGGACUGCAGGGUGGUGCCUGUGGUGGAAAACGAUUUUCUAGUGGUUGGGGAUGAGCUCGCGGCCUAUCAGCUUGUUGGUGGGGUAAUGGCCUACCAAGGCGGCGACGGGUAGCCGGCCUGAGAGGGUGGACGGCCACAUUGGGACUGAGAUACGGCCCAGACUCCUACGGGAGGCAGCAGUGGGGAAUAUUGCACAAUGGGCGGAAGCCUGAUGCAGCGACGCCGCGUGGGGGAUGACGGCCUUCGGGUUGUAAACUCCUUUCGACCGCGAGGAAGCCGCCUGGUUGGAAGGGUGGUGACGGUAGUGGUAGAAGAAGCACCGGCUAACUACGUG
rnacentral:rRNA from 1 species